rnacentral:lncRNA from 1 species
GUCACAUUGUCUCAUCACAAAAUUGGAUUGCACAGAACUCAAAUGGAGAGGACGUUCAAACUCAGGAAUGUGGAGCACUCAUCAUCUGCUGUGGUCAAAGAGACAAUCUGUGAAGAAAGUGAACAAGGCAGAUGGAGAUAAAUUCAAAAACAGAGAUCCGAAAGGCUGCUAAGAGAGAAAGGAACAGGAAUCUCCCAGUUCCUGAGAGCCUCCCAGGCUUUCUCCCUCGAUGUUUGGAGUUUUAUGCCUAUGUAAUCAGUGCAGACAGCCGUUAAGUAAAUGAAGAGGCAACUAACAAUGUCAGAAAAGAGACCGGGCGGUUCCGGCUGACACUACCCUAAUCUUCCAGGACCCAUUAAAUGGUAGUUUCAACGCAUUACCUACCAUAACAUCCUUGAAUAUCACUGAUUUUAUUUGCAGUAUCAAACAUUCCAUUUCAUGCCCCAUUAACAGUGGGAGCCUGGGCUUUUUGACGCAGCUAAACAUUUUACUAACUACCUGGACUAAGUAACCAAUUAACUUUUGGAGACAAUACGGCCAAUUAAGCGCGAAAAGCAGAAAUAUCAGUGUCCGACAAGAUAUUGCCCUGGUUUUCACUGGCUUGGACUCUUCAGAGAGAAAAACAAAUCCAUGUAUAGAGAGAAAAUUUGGAAAACAGGCUUUUCCUAUCCGGAUGAACAGAGAUAAUUUGUGUCGAUGGAUGUUCUGUGAAGGCCUAUUGUGUCGAGCAGCGUAUUAAAACAUAAACAUGGCUCUUCCCCCAAGAAACUUACAUUUCAGUAAGGGAGCCUGGCCAAAAUGGAAAACUGCAAGGUUCAAAUCCUGGAGUGCAGAAGAAGCAUUAGGCAUUGACCCUGUGGCUUCCUAAUAGAUCCGCAAAGUGCUUUGUUCCUGGAAAUCAUCCGAUGAGUAGUUCAGUGCUAUUGUAUAUCUUGUUAGAGCAGCCGAAGUGCCACAAAAUGAACUAAAAUCUCCCUGCAGAGUUGCUGUAUCAUAUGCUGAGAACAUUCGGAACUUUCAACAAAUUCAUGUUACGAUCCUGGGUAGCCAUGGUUAAAUCUGUACAGGGGUUAAAUGAGAAAUAUGAGCCUGCUGUUAAGUGUCUUCUGAGAGUGACAAAGCUCUGGCCAUAAGGGAUGGGAGAGGAGGGAUUUCUUCUCAGCCUUCCAGCCCUUUCCAGCUGUAUCACAGACAGGAGACAUAAUGCAAAGGGGCUCAGACAUUGACUUCCUGGAUCUUUGCGGCCCCAGGCAUUGACCCCCUCUACCUGGCUUUUCCUACGCUGUAAAAUGAGGAUCCUCCUAUAUUAUGGAGUUUAUUGUGACAACUAAAUAGCUGAGAAGAAGGACAUCUCAUUUGUUUUAACUAUGCAGUUUCCUGUCUAUCUAUCUAUCUAUCCCAUCAAUCUAUCAAUCAAUCUAUCAAUCUGUCUAUCCCUAUCUAUCUAUCCAUCUAUCUAUCUAUAUCUGUCUAUAUCUAUCUAACAUUUAUCUAUCAUCUAUUCAUCUAUCAGCUAUCUUCUGUCUAUCAAUAUUUCAAUCAAUCUCUCUAUCCCUAUCAAUUAAUCUAUCUACCUACCUAUCAACUAUCCAUCUAUCUCUAUCAUCUAUCAUCUAUUCAUCUAUCAUUUAUCAUCUGUCAAUCCAUCUUCCUACUAUCUAUCAAAAGCAACACAUUUUCUUCCUGACUUUAAAAAUAUUUAAGUGGGCCGGGAGGAUGGCUCACGCCUGUAAUCCCAGCACUUUGGGAGGCCUAGGCGGGCGGAUCACGAGGUCAGGAGAUGGAGACCAUCCUGGCUAACAUGGUGAAACCCCGUCUCUACUAAAAAUACAAAAAAAAAAAAAAAUUAACCAGGCGUGGUGGAGGGCGCCUGUAGUCCCAGCUACUCGGGAGACUGAGGCAGGAGAAUGGGGAGAACCCGGGAGGCGGAGCUUGCAGUGAGCCGAGAUCAUGCCACUGCACUCCAGCCUGGGCGACAGAGCAAGACUCCAUCUCAAAAGAAACAAAAACAAAAACGUAAGUGAUACUCUGUCCACUCUUUUGAUUGAGGAGGUCUGAUUUUCAGGCUUUGGAUUUUAUUAUGUCUUCAAUAUAAUAAUUGUUCCAUGUAUCUCUCCUAAAUUGCCAUUUGAAAAACUGCUUUUCUGAAGUUUAAAGUGCACAUUUUGAUACAUCUUGACACAUAUAUACACCCAUGAAAUCAUCACCACAAUCAGGAUAGUAGAUCUAUCCAUUACCGCCAAGGUUUACUUGCACUCCUUUGAACUUUCUCCCCACUCCUCACCCCCUGCCUAUCCCCAAUCCUUAAGCAAUCACUGAUUUGCUUUCUGUCACUAUCAGUUAAUUUGAAUUUUUCAGAAAUGUAUAUAAAUAAAAUCAUUCGACGUGUAUGCUCUUUUUCUGUUCACCCGGUACAAUUUGAGAUUUAGCCAUGUUUUUGCAUGUGUCAAUAGUUUAUUUUUUUGUUGCUCAGUACUAAUCCAUUUUAUGGAUACAGAGAAAUGUAUUAAUGCAAUCCCAUAUUAAUAGGCAUUUGGGUUGUUUCCAGGUUUGGGCUGUUACAAAUAAAGCUGCUAUGAACAUUUUUGUGCAAGUCUUUUUAUGAGUAUAUUCCUUUAUUUCUUUUGGGUAAAUACCUAGAAGUGGGAUGGGUGUAUCACAUGGUACGUAAAUAUUUAAAUUUUUAAGAGAAUGCCAAACUGUUUUUCAAAGUAAUUGCACCAUUUUAUAUUCCCACCAGGAAUAUAUGAGAAUUCCAGUUCCUCUACAUACUCACAGACAUAUUGUAUGGUCAGU